ACGACUCCCAAGCAGUUCUGGCAGUCAACAGGAAACAAAAAUCACAGCCUACGUACUAAGAUUUUAAACUGCACCAUAGAAUUGAUUCCACUCCCAGCUUUUUGAGGUAGAAAUCUCAUUUCAUACUAGAUCACCCUUUGCACAACAGACUUCUCUCUUUCCAGGGCUUCUGGAAACUAUGGUAUUUCUUCUCUCACCCUUUCAGUUUCAGGAGAAAGGGAUGGGAACCUAUCAUUAUGAGAUGUCCCUGUUCUGACCCUGCAUAGUCCUGUGCUAGACCCUUUUUUUGCAGUAUUAACCAGAUAUUGAUUUAUACCUCCAGUCAAAGAUUUUGUCUGGUGCACCCAGACUCUGCUGAAAAACUCAGCAUGCUAUGGGGAACGUGUCUGAGAUGACUGAAGUUGUAUUUGCUUUUAACCUCCAUUCAGCACCUACGCUGUUUUUUUGUUUGUUUGUUUGUUUGCUUGUUUUAAGAAAAAGGUGAAAACAGACAAGCAGAUAUGGUCCAGACAGAUAUGUUUCCAUGGUCAUUUUAAAACGUCCUGAACAUCCCAAUCGCUCCACCCUGCCCCAGGGUUUGGAACGUGGGUGCAAACCCCCAAAUUCCCAGGCUUUCUCCAGUGCCAUUUCUGCCAAAUCUCAUCUUAAUUCAGGGUGAAAACAGACUCAGAGCUGUGCCUGUAGAGGUCUAUCUCAAGGCUUUGGCAAUUGUGGACCAGAAAAAGCUACUGCUUCCUCAGGAGGAGGCCCCUGGUAGUGAAGAAUGAUCCAUCGGGGUCUGAUGAAAGGGAGGAAUCACAGGCACAGAGGGGAGGGACCUCGGUGCCUGGCAGUGAUACUGCAGCAGGACUCAAGCACAGCCUGAUCAGCCAGGCACAAGGAAGGUGUGGGUGCAUAAAGGCCUGGUAUUUGCUCCCCAGUGCCUAUAGCUCCACGUAGCAUUUCUCCAUGGGGGUAAUGCAGACCUGCCGUACACAGCAUGUGGAGACGAAACACCAGCGUGGCCAACCCUCCCUCCUGCAGCUACCUCAUUUUGUUCUUCCGAGGGUUUAUGCUGAUACCUGCAGACAAAGGGCUGAUGGGGUUCAAAGUGCUGGUCCCUGUCCUCCUAACCAGGAACCAGAGCUCGUGUAUUCAUUGCUUCUUUGAGCUCCUGCUGCUGACAACCUACUUCCUCGUCGCUAGAUGCAAGACCGACCGAUGAGGCUGGGAUGACUCAAACACCCUUCCAGAUACCCCCCAGCAACUUCCCACAACAGGGGAUCUUUCCUGACAACGUGCUGCUUGGUCUCCUUUUGCUCACCAUCACUGCCCGGGUUAUUGGCUUUGCUGCUGUGCGAAGUGACAGCACUCACUGCGGCCCUUCCCUUUGUGUCCGCAGCUAGUAACUGGAGCCCUCGGCAAACAGAAGUGCUAAGCGUGAUCUGUCAUCUAACUCCUUUUUUGUCCUUCCAACAAAUGCCUUUGCAUUCCUUCAUUUUGUCAAUGGGGUUUGGCAGAGCUGUAUAGAAUUCCCCAUUGUUUCCAUUUGCACUUCAGUAAGUGUCCAUCAUUGCUACUUAUGCCCCCAACAAACUGGCAGAGAAAGAGAGAGAAAGAAAUAAAAUCUCUAUUUAGAAAUUUCAUACAACUCGUUAUUGCAAGACCUGGGCGUCCCCUAGUCUUUAACGCAACCUAACGUGAUGUUUUGAAGCAUGGCAGUUUUAUCCCUGCAGCCCAAAGCAGAAAGGGGAUGAAGCUGGGGCUCUGCUAGAGUGGCACAUCGAGGUGGCAGCAGAGGGGGACCUGGGCACAGGACCUCAGCCAUGACGCUGCCCUUCCCUCCUGGGACACAGCUCCAAGAGCCUGUGCUGCUGCCUCCUCUUCGCCCCAAGGUACCAGCCCACCUGUACCGCUUGCCCAGUAUUGCCCUAAUUUGUCCCAAAUCACCUGCCCUGCCUGCAGGGCCAUCAUCUCCCCUUGAAACAGGAGCUGGCUGGCUCCAUCCCUUCCAGGGCUGCCCUGCCACUCGGUCCAUCCUCCCCAGGGGCACCAGGCGGGUGCUGUACCACCAUGCAGGGCCUUCCUCACCCAGCGGGUGGGCCAGGCAGCCCCAAAGCAGCAUUAGAGCCACCACCCAGGGCUGUAGCAGCAAGCAGGGCGAGCUGAGGCUCAGGAACAGGAGACCAGCCUCUCCUGGGCCAGCAUGCAGCGCCGGGGCUGGAAGGAGCUGGGGUGGUGCAGAUGCAGCUAAAGGGCACGAGCGCUACGGGCUGGACACAUUCAAUGAAUGGCAGAGUGCAAAAUCUUCCGUGGUAUCGGGGAGCCUGUGCUCACUGAAAAUGCAUCAAUAGAAACGAUCAGGAAGAACAUUUUAAGUUUGCAAAGCCCGUAAAGGUUUGUAUUCUCCUGGUUUUACAGCCUUUGGCUGCUUGGGCCAGAAGGCUUCGGUUCCCUCACCGUGCUCUGCAGCUGCUUCCCCUCCACUGGUGAGCCAGCCCUGCCGUUCCCAUCCAGGGGUGUCCCGCAGUCCGGCACCUUCCCAGCCACCAGCCCCGCUCCAGAGGAUGCCGCAGGGGUGCUGGGACACGUGGGGACCCAGUGCCCCGAGGGACGGCACCAGGAGGUUCCCGUUAGGGGCUGCCUUCAGGAGCACCAUGCUCAGGACCCCGAGGCAGGCUCUGCGGCACCAGGGUGGGCUGGUAAGCAGCUCCUGGCUCCCAGGACCCUCACCGAGACUACGGGCUUCAAGAGGAACACCCAGCUGUGGGGACGGCGGGAUGCACACACAGCUCCGCCGGGCAAGUGGGAGCCCAGCACCGAAAAGCCCAUCGGGAGAUAAUGCGAAGGGCAGCAAGCGACCUCUGCCGAGGAGGGAACGGAUCAGCAGUACGCUGGCAAGGUAUUUAACCCUGAGCAGAUCCUGGGAACAAAAGGCGCACAUAUUGAACCACCAGAAGAGACCACAGCGCAGAUUUCCUUGGCACCUCGCAAGGCGUUAGCCUGGGGUACAGAGAUACGAGGGCAGAUCCAGCCCUGCUGCGAGCACGCAGCCCUGCCGGGCGCCCCUUUCCUCGCCCCGGCCUCAGCGGGGUCCGACGUGCCUUGGGGCUCGAGCAAGAUCCCCCUGUCCCCUCUUGCAGCAUGACUGCAGAUAACUUCACCGCCGUGCUCCCAAGGUAGUGUGAAGGGACCUCGCCUCGUGCCAAGUGUCUCCCCAGCACCCGGCCCUGCCCCUCGCCUCGCAGUGCUGCUCCGGGUGCCCCAGAGCAGUCCUCGUCCCCCUGCUCCCCUCUCCUCCCGUCGACUUCUCCAUUUGUGACACAGCCAUGCUUGCACGCUCCCAAGCAGGCACGGGGCUCCAGAGAGCACCCAGUGUUUAAUAGGUGCAGCUGGGGGACAGUGCAGUCACCAGCAUUUCCAGAGACACCACAGCCACGUCCGGGUAAAAAAGCCCCAAAGCCCUGAAAUUUGGUCCUUGUGAGCGUACAAACACGCACGAACUUCCCGAGGAGAGCUGGUUGCAGGCUCUGGGAGCGGUUCGCACCUCACCACAUAACUUUACACACACAGACACACGCAUGCAGGGCAGGCGUGUGCUGAGCCUACAAAGGAAACUGCACAUUCAUCCCCGUCCAGCUCCGGCACCGCGCUAACGGGGCGGCUGUGGGGAGUGGGGUGACCCUCGGGGGGCACGCUGGGAAGGGGGGGGGUUCCCCCAAAUCCCCCUGCCCCAUUUCCGUCCUUUCCCCCCAUCUCACAGCCCGUCCCGGUCUGGCAGAAGCACAGGGAUCCUGUACACAACUUUUUCAAACUGCCAGGCAGAAGAAUCCCAGUCCUUCCAAGGGAGUGUCGGUAAAUCAUCAUUACAUCCGACAACGCAACCAGAGGGCUUAACCCUUUGCUAGUCCCCAGGAAAAUAACAACAACAACAAACUUAACAAUGAAAAUCCUCAAAGCUGGCCCCGGCUGCGUGAGAAAGAGGACAGGCAGGGUGUGGACCGCAAUUUUUCAUGUCUCUAUAUGUACAGAGAUAGAAAGAUAUCUUUGUGUGUGCGUACACGAAGCACACGAACAUGCCACCACGCACCCGCCUGCCUCCCUGGACGUGCCUCCCAGCCCUCCCCAUGGCUCUCCCACUUUUCGGAGGACUGCGGUGGCGAUCUCCAGUGCAGAUGUGCCUCCCACCCCCUCAAAGAUCUCUCCUCUGGACUUAGAGAGAAGAGGAAAAGGCAGAUUUUCAGAAAUGAAAAUUAUUUAAGGAUGUCCCUGCUGCCUCUCUCUGCUGCCCUCCUCUGUAGUACUGAAGCACUUACAAAAAAUAAUACAAAGUAAAUAAAUAAAAAAUUGAAACUUCGGCUGGAAGAGCUGCAGGGGAGUAACCCAAGACCCCUUCCAGGCUGUGCAGAGCAAGAGCGGGUGACUCCGUGGAGGAAGGCCCAGCUCUGGGGGAGGCUGCUGAUGGAGAUGGCUGCUUGGCCAUGCUCACCUGCCCGGCCACGAACCCUCUGCCCAAAGCAGCUCCAGCCCAGUGCACAGGGACGGCAAUGGACCCGCAGUAUGAGGGACACUUUUCCAGAAGCGUGCAGCCACGUUACGUGCCCAAACACUUGCUGGAAGCUCCUGUGCACAGGCAGACCUGUCGCAGCGCUCUGAAGUCCCAGGAGCUCAGACAACCCACCCAGACCAGCUCUGAGGACUGGGACUUGAGGGACAAAAGGAACACUAAAGGCUUUUGUCUCUUGACCGGUGCUGCGGGGAUGCCAUGUCUGGCAAAGAGUGAUCUUUCUGUGCUUUCUGGCUAUGCCAUAUCACAUUGGGCUGCCCAGCUGGCUGAGAGGAUACCUGAGGCUUUUACAGGACAGAGUCUCACUGGGAUGCAUUUCACGAGCUGCUGGAGAACCUUCCUGGAGUAGCUGUUCUAGAGCAGGCAGCGUAUCCACCUUCCUAAUGUGGCUUAGGAGGAAUUAAAUCACCAAACUCGUUCUUCAUCAAAUAUAAGUUGACAGAGUGCCAUGACUGCAACUGGACAUCCUCCAUUCACCAUGUAGAACCAGGAGCACAUCUGUAUAUAUUUGCAAACAGAAAUAAAUACACAAAUACUGCAAACACUCAUUAACAUCCUCUCCAUGCCUUGAGGAGAAAAUAAGUCACGGGGGAGUGAAUGUCAGUAAAGUAACUCUGACUUUACAUUGCAAAGCACAGCAGAGAUAAACACAGUAAGUUCCAAUUCACUGCACUGUCUCAGUCCAAAUGGGGCAACUUCUGCCACUUUCUAAUGGCAAAUGGGCAGAGAUUUGCACGAGCAGCUUCAAACAAAAUCCAGCAUUUCCACUGCUCAAUUACAGCAACAGAACUUCAAAGAAUUUCAGUGAGUUCAGCUGAAAUUUAUGUUUGCGUAGCAGCACAGCGAAUUUGGCCCUUAUAUAUUUUAGAAACAUAGCCAAGGGAGUAGGUUCUCCUUUGCUCUACGCAGUAGCAUCACAAUAGAGGGGCUGUUGUGGAGACCCAGUCGAGGAAUUUUUAAGCCUGUUCCCCAUCGGCCAAUUCCCCAAAGUCUCUGGGACUGAAGAAGUCUUGUGACUGACAAGGGUUACAUCGGGGUCAAGUUUUACACUCCAAAAACGAAGGGAGAAUCACUGUUUACUCUCUAGUUUCUCAGAAAACACUCAAAUCCCUCUUCAUAUGGAACAUCUCAUUUGCAUGUCAUCAGCAAACUUUUCCACUGGCAAGCCUGCCAUGCUUCAACAUUUUCUUCAUCCACAAACAAAACGUAUGUUUUAUCAGAGUCAUUUUGCUUCACGGGCAGCUUCAACACCUGCCUUUCUUCUCUUACACUGUUUUUCUCAGGGAUUUCUUUAUUAUGAGUUCACAUUAAACUAUUUCUUGUUUAGAUUUAAAAGGAUAAGUUUUAAUCUCAGUGUAUCUUGAGAUGCUUUUCUCCAAGCUGCUCCGACUGUGGCUCCUUUCCCACCAAAUCCCACAUUUAGCUUUCAAGCCAGACCAAAAUUCACUGCAAGACUCGCAUUAAUCAGCAGAAUGGAAUAAGAGGGACUAGUGAGUGUUUUGCAUCUCCAAUGUCCCUAGUAGGCAACAACACUUUGUUAAAUCUCCUACAGGGCUGUGCCCCAGGUGGAAAGCCCUGCUGCCAAGCGGCUGGCGUGUCCUUGGGCACUGACCAAUGGACAUGGGCAGAGUGGCUCUCACCUUUGCCUUGCUCAGAGCAACAGGCACAACACACCCAAGCAAACGCACGAUGAACAGGUCAUCGGUCCUAAAAGCGCUUUGAUGUCCCUAGCACGCCUUUCAUCAUAGCAUCCUAAAAGCGCUUCGCAAUUAUUGUGAGUCGUAACUCAUCACCACCCACAUGGUUUUCCCUCCUUCACCAGCUGGAUAUACAGAAAAGCCCCAGCUACUUAAGGGGAUGACUUUUAAGGGUAUGACUUAAGGGGAAGAAUCCAGGGCUCCUGCUCCAUCCACCAUGCCCCGAGGCCACGGAACUUCCCCGUAACACCACUGCGCCCAGUAAGCACUGCGAAACACACAUGGGUCCUACGCACAUGGUCAGCAAGGAGACCUCGUGGAGAAGACACACAGCUUCUCUGUACUCUUCACCGCUUCAUCGUGAGCUUUUUUUUUUUUUUUUUUUCCCCAACAUGCUGCUAUUAAACACCAGGAACAAACUAGUUUCUGUAUAAAACUUUCCCCAAAGUAUUUAGAAGAUGGCAAGAAAUGCCAAGCUUUCUAUUUUCCUCCUUCUUUAAAGGAGAAAUAACG